CUACGGGCGGCAGCAGUCGAGAAUCUUCCGCAAUGGGCGAAAGCCUGACGGAGCAAUGCCGCGUGAUGGAUGAAGUACUUCGGUGCGUAAACAUCUUUUAUGAGUGAAGAAGUAUAUUGACAUUAACUCAUGAAUAAGAGGCUCCUAACUCUGUGCCAGCAGGAGCGGUAAUACAGAGGCCUCAAGCGUUACCCGGAAUCACUGGGCGUAAAGGGUGUGUAGGCGGUCAUGUUAGUCGCGUGUAAAAGCCCGGAGCUCAACUUCGGAUUCGCGCGCGAAACGGCACGACUAGAGUGUGGCAGAGGUGCGUAGAACUCAUGGUGUAGGGGUGAAAUCCGUUGAUAUCAUGGGGAAUACCAAAAGCGAAGGCAGCGCACUGGGCCAUUUCUGACGCUGAGACACGAAAGCGUGGGUAGCGACCGGGAUUAGAUACCCGCGUAGUC
rnacentral:rRNA from 1 species